AUUGAACGCUGGCGGCAUGCCUUACACAUGCAAGUCGAACGGCAGCGGGGGAGAAGCUUGCUUUUCCUGCCGGCGAGUGGCGAACGGGUGAGUAAUACAUCGGAACGUGCCCUGUAGUGGGGGAUAACUAGUCGAAAGAUUAGCUAAUACCGCAUACGACCUGAGGGUGAAAGUGGGGGACCGCAAGGCCUCCUGCUAUACGAGCGGCCGAUGUCUGAUUAGCUAGUGGGUGGGGUAAAGGCCUACAAAGGCGACGAUCAGUAGCUGGUCUGAGAGGACGAUCAGCCACACUGGGACUGAGACACGGCCCAGACUCCUACGGGAGGCAGCAGUGGGGAAUUUUGGACAAUGGGCGAAAGCCUGAUCCAGCAAUGCCGCGUGUGUGAAGAAGGCCUUCGGGUUGUAAAGCACUUUUGUCCGGAAAGAAAUGGCUCUGGUUAAUACCUGGGGUCGAUGACGGUACCGGAAGAAUAAGGACCGGCUAACUACGUGCCAGCCGCCGCGGUAA
rnacentral:rRNA from 1 species